UUGUGUGGAGUCCUAUAAAGAAAAGCCUGAGUUAUAGACUGACUAAAGAAAUCCACCUAAGUCGUAAGUUUUUGUUACAGCUGGCACACCUGCUUGCAAACUCGAAAAUCUGAUUCUAGUAGAAAGUGGACUAAGUCUUAAGAGAGAUAAGCCGGUCUUUAUACAUUGGCCCUACUUCGAAUUCAGUCAGUGGCCAGAUGCAUUGUAAGCAAUUCCAGUCCCAGCUGCUGAGGUGGCAUAGUCAGCCCUACCUAAGUAUUGAACAAAACCAACCAUUUGUAUAAUAUUAUCCAAUCUUGCAUAUUAAUUAAGACCACUUAUUAGAUCAAGGUUGGCAUACAUAGCAUAGGAAGGUGGAGAUCUGAAGUAAUCUAUAUGUCCCUCAGCCAGUCAUCCAUUUCUCUGGAUAUGAAGUUUACAACAUAAAAAAAUGACCCUUUUCAUAAUGAAAUCCAUUACAUGCGAUCCAAAGAACUCUGAUCUGGAUUACCAGCUUUGGGGUGGAAGGACGGAUCGAUCGACCAAGCAACAACGAUCCCUUUACACUGGUCAAGUGCGAAGGUCCCGAUCGGAUUGCCGAUCUGCCAGUGUUGUUUGACUGAUUUUUUGCAUCUCAAAAC
rnacentral:lncRNA from 1 species